UGGAAUGGGCGCAGCCUGACCGCCUGCCGCGUGAGUGAUGAAGGCCUUAGGGUUGUAAAGCUCUUUUGUCCGGGAAGAUAAUGACUGUGCCGGAAGAAUAAGCCCCGGCUAACUUCGUGCCAGCAGCCGCGGUAAUACGAAGGGGGCUAGCGUUGUUCGGAAUCACUGGGCGUAAAGCGCACGUAGGCGGACCGUUAAGUCGGAGGUGAAAGCCUGGAGCUCAACUCCAGAACUGCCUUCGAUACUGGCGAUCUUGAGUAUGGUAGAGGUUGGUGGAACUCCGAGUGUAGAGGUGAAAUUCGUAGAUAUUCGGAAGAACACCAGUGGCGAAUGCGGCCAACUGGACCAUUACUGACGCUGAGGUGCGAAA
rnacentral:rRNA from 1 species